rnacentral:tRNA from 1 species
ACGGGCGUGGUGAAGCGGUAUCACAAUGGUCUCCAAAACCAUUAUCGCAGGUUCGAUUCCUGCCGCCCGUG